CCUACGGGAGGCAGCAGUGGGGGAUAUUGCACAAUGGGGGGAACCCUGAUGCAGCGACGCCGCGUGGGUGAAGAAGCGCCUCGGCGCGUAAAGCCCUGUCAGCAGGGAAGAAAAUGACGGUACCUGAAGAAGAAGCCCCGGCUAACUACGUGCCAGCAGCCGCGGUAAUACGUAGGGGGCAAGCGUAAUCCGGAUUUACUGGGUGUAAAGGGGGUGCAGACGGGGAUGCAAGCCAGGAGUGAAAGCCCGGGGACCAACCCCGGGACUGCUCUUGGAACUGCGUGGCUGGAGUGCAGGAGGGGCAGGCGGAAUUCCUGGUGUAGCGGUGAAAUGCGUAGAUAUCAGGAGGAACACCGGUGGCGAAGGCGGCCUGCUGGACUGCAACUGACGUUGAGGCCCGAAAGCGUGGGGAGCAAACAGGAUUAGAUACCCGAGUAGUC
rnacentral:rRNA from 1 species